UUUCUCUCUCUCUGUUUUCUGCAGUCUCCCAGUUCUUCAACAACAUGGCAGCACCUCACAUCACCAGCUUCUCCAUACUUCUGUGGUUUAUGGGUAUUUCUUCUUGCAUUGAAACCCCUUUCCUUGGGGCAACACAUAUCUAUUUUCAUCUCAUUUUCAGAUCAACUUGACUACUCUGACCAUUGUAUCUGAACUCUUUAUAGAUUCUGCUUUGACAACCAGUGUGGACCAAACCCCUCCUGACAUGUUUAAGACUCAAGAGGAUUCAGCACAGUUUAAGUGCAGACACAACAUCUCGAGCUAUAAUGUCAUCCUGUGGUAUCAACAAUCACAGAACACCGGACUAACUUUGCUUGGAUAUGUCUAUAGGAUGAAUAAAAACAAAGAGAGCGCAUUUGAACAGAAAAUUGAACUUAGCGGUAGUUCUGGCACAAAUGAAGACAGCUUCAUCACCAUAAAAAGCCUGUCUUUAAAUGACAGUGCUCUGUAUUUUUGUGCCGCAAGUGAACACAGUGCCAUACAUCCUCUGCCUUCUUCACAAAAACUGAUUUCCAUCAGUCAUGACAGGUGAUCUCUUCCACCCUCACACCUGUUACAAUGCUGUUAAUGCUGUCGUUUCAGUGAUUAUAUGUUCACAUGCCUGUUUGCUAGGUCUUUUUUAUUUCCUUUAAACAUCUGCAAUAACGUAAGCAGCAUCUCACACACUACAAGAAAGUAAAUGAUGAGCAGGAAGAAGUUUUACUCUGCUGGUGAUUCAACAGCACCACUUCCUCUAUUUGGACGAGUCUCCUUGAUAUCAGUGACAUUCGUGUCUACAGCUCUCAUGUACCAACAUGAUCCGAGGCCUCUUCAUCCAGCUGAUUCUAAUACCACUCUGGGUUAAAGGACAAAGUUAUGAAGUUCAACAGAAUCUUCGUGAGCUGUUAAAGGCCCCAGGAGACAAUGUGCUAUUGAACUGCAAACAUAAAAUUACAGACUUCUAUGUGAUUUUGUGGUACAAGCAAACUGUUCAAAGUUCUACCCUUGAUCUCAUUGGAUUUGUGUCCUACACCUCACCAACUGUUGAAAAGCCGUAUACUAAACUCUUCAAAGUGACUGGGGAUGGUAGUAAAAACAGCACUCUUAGUUUUCUGAAACCGAUCCAAGUUGAAGACAGUGCUGUGUAUUACUGCGCUGCCAGUAAAGCACAAUGCUACAGGUCCCCUUGCUGCCUUACAAUAACCCCAGGAGUGUCUGACACCUGUGUUGAACCACUUCAACUGUCUCUGAAUGAAACUAAAACAUUGUCCCAAAGGGCAACAAUGGGCAGUUCUCCAAAUGACACUGUUGCAGUUCUGUGA